CUGCCAGCGUGCCACAUUCGGAGCGACCGCCGCGCGCAGGGAGGGCGGCGCGCGCUGCACAAAAACCCGUCUCACCCGCUGAUGUGCAGAGUGGCUCACAACCUCUGAUCGGUGGACAGCAAAGAAAGCAGUCUGUAGUUCUCAUGGAAUCUGAAUUUUACUGGAAAGAAAGAAAGGCCCAUCUGCUUUCCAUUCCUACAUCCUUCUAAGGGACAUUGAUGCCAUGGAGAACCCGGUCCUGGAGCCCAGAUCGGAGCGGAUCGCUCGUUACAAGGCCGAGAGGAGGAGGGAACUGGCCGAACGUUACGGCAACACGGAGGAGCUGCCUUCCAAGUGGGUGAGGAGGGACGGGAGAGAGGUGCACGACCCGGCGAGCCAAGCCCACAGAGGGGCGAUGAACUCUGAAGGCCUGAGCGAAAGAGUGAACGGCAGGACGCGAGGGGUCACAAAUGGAUUAGAAGCGGACACUCCCGGAGAGUCCAGCUACCUGGGAAGGCAGGGUUACCAGGACUCUGCCAGCAUGCUGGGUGGGGAGGGGCACCCCGUCCCUGGUGGACCUGAUUCCCCGCAGCUCCACACUCGGGUGUCGGUAGGCCAGUUGAGGAGUGCCCUCCUGCAGCAGACGGGGAGUGGAGCGCAGCCCGAGAAAGUCAGCUGCCCAGAUCCUGGGCGGGCCACGUCCUCUCUGGACCUGGCUGUGAAGCCGGGCUCCGAGGGGGGCCGGCGACGCACUCGCCGCUACCUCACUGGCGGGUCAGGUGGAGGUCGUAAGACCAGUGAACGCUUCAGGACCCAGCCGAUCACAGCCAAUGAGAUGGAAGAGAGCGGCGGGUAGGGGCUGUUUGCUGUGGGCUCCCGAUGAGG
rnacentral:lncRNA from 1 species